rnacentral:rRNA from 1 species
GACAGAGGCCUCAAGCGUUAGGCGGAAUCACUGGGCUUAAAGCGUGUGUAGGCGGAUCGUUAAGUGUCUUGUGAAAUCCCACGGCUCACCCGUGGAACUGCUGGGCAUACUGGCGAUCUUGGGCCAACUAGGGGCAACUGGAACAAGCGGUGGAGCGGUGAAAUGCGUAGAUAUCGCUUGGAACGCCAAGGUGAAAACAGGUGCUGGGGUUGUGCCGACGCUGGAGACACGAAAAGCCAGGGGGAGCAAAACGGG